rnacentral:rRNA from 1 species
GACGAACGCUGGCGGCGUGCCUAAUACAUGCCAGUUGAGCGCUGAAGGUUGGUACUUGUACCGACUGGAUGAGCAGCGAACGGGUGAGUAACGCGUGGGGAAUCUGCCUUUGAGCGGGGGACAACAUUUGGAAACGAAUGCUAAUACCGCAUAAAAACUUUAAACACAAGUUUUAAGUUUGAAAGAUGCAAUUGCAUCACUCAAAGAUGAUCCCGCGUUGUAUUAGCUAGUUGGUGAGGUAAAGGCCCACCAAGGCGAUGAUACAUAGCCGACCUGAGAGGGUGGUCGGCCACCUUGGGAAUGAGACAAGGCCCAAACUCCUACGGGAGGCAGCCGUAGGGAAUCUUCGGCAAUGGACGGAAGUCUGAACAAGCAACGCCGCGUGAGUGAAGAAGGUUUUCGGAUCGUAAAACUCUGUUGGUAGAGAAGAAAGUUGGUGAGAGUGGAAAGCUCAUCAAGUGACGGUAACUACCCAGAAAGGCACGGCUAACUACGUG